GGGUUGUGAGGUUAAGCGACUAAGCGUACACGGUGGAUGCCCUGGCAGUCAGAGGCGAUGAAGGACGUGCUAAUCUGCGAAAAGCGUCGGUAAGGUGAUAUGAACCGUUAUAACCGGCGAUGUCCGAAUGGGGAAACCCAGUGCAAUUCGUUGCACUAUCGUUAACUGAAUACAUAGGUUAACGAGGCGAACCGGGGGAACUGAAACAUCUAAGUACCCCGAGGAAAAGAAAUCAACCGAGAUUCCCCCAGUAGCGGCGAGCGAACGGGGAGCAGCCCAGAGUCUGAAUCAGCUUGUGUGUUAGUGGAACGGUCUGGAAAGUCCGACGGUACAGGGUGAUAGUCCCGUACACCAAAAUGCACAGGUUGUGAACUCGAAGAGUAGGGCGGGACACGUGGUAUCCUGUCUGAAUAUGGGGGGACCAUCCUCCAAGGCUAAAUACUCCUGACUGACCGAUAGUGAACCAGUACCGUGAGGGAAAGGCGAAAAGAACCCCGGCGAGGGGAGUGAAAAAGAACCUGAAACCGUGUACGUACAAGCAGUGGGAGCACCUUCGGGUGUGACUGCGUACCUUUUGUAUAAUGGGUCAGCGACUUAUAUUCUGUAGCAAGGUUAACCGUAUAGGGGAGCCGCAGGGAAACCGAGUCUUAACUGGGCGUUAAGUUGCAGGGUAUAGACCCGAAACCCGGUGAUCUAGCCAUGGGCAGGUUGAAGGUUGGGUAACACUAACUGGAGGACCGAACCGACUAAUGUUGAAAAAUUAGCGGAUGACUUGUGGCUGGGGGUGAAAGGCCAAUCAAACCGGGAGAUAGCUGGUUCUCCCCGAAAGCUAUUUAGGUAGCGCCUCGUGAACUCAUCUUCGGGGGUAGAGCACUGUUUCGGCUAGGGGGUCAUCCCGACUUACCAACCCGAUGCAAACUACGAAUACCGAAGAAUGUUAUCACGGGAGACACACGGCGGGUGCUAACGUCCGUCGUGAAGAGGGAAACAACCCAGACCGCCAGCUAAGGUCCCAAAGUCAUGGUUAAGUGGGAAACGAUGUGGGAAGGCACAGACAGCCAGGAUGUUGGCUUAGAAGCAGCCAUCAUUUAAAGAAAGCGUAAUAGCUCACUGGUCGAGUCGGCCUGCGCGGAAGAUGUAACGGGGCUAAACCAUGCACCGAAGCUGCGGCAGCGACACUAUGUGUUGUUGGGUAGGGGAGCGUUCUGUAAGCCUGCGAAGGUGUGCUGUGAGGCAUGCUGGAGGUAUCAGAAGUGCGAAUGCUGACAUAAGUAACGAUAAAGCGGGUGAAAAGCCCGCUCGCCGGAAGACCAAGGGUUCCUGUCCAACGUUAAUCGGGGCAGGGUGAGUCGACCCCUAAGGCGAGGCCGAAAGGCGUAGUCGAUGGGAAACAGGUUAAUAUUCCUGUACUUGGUGUUACUGCGAAGGGGGGACGGAGAAGGCUAUGUUAGCCGGGCGACGGUUGUCCCGGUUUAAGCAUGUAGGCUGAUUGUCCAGGCAAAUCCGGAUAAUCAAGGCUGAGGUGUGAUGACGAGGCACUACGGUGCUGAAGUAACAAAUGCCCUGCUUCCAGGAAAAGCCUCUAAGCAUCAGGUAACAUCAAAUCGUACCCCAAACCGACAUGGAGCUGAGACCAGUCGAAGAUACCAGCUGGCUGCAACUGUUUAUUAAAAACACAGCACUGUGCAAACACGAAAGUGGACGUAUACGGUGUGACGCCUGCCCGGUGCCGGAAGGUUAAUUGAUGGGGUUAUCCGUAAGGAGAAGCUCUUGAUCGAAGCCCCGGUAAACGGCGGCCGUAACUAUAACGGUCCUAAGGUAGCGAAAUUCCUUGUCGGGUAAGUUCCGACCUGCACGAAUGGCGUAAUGAUGGCCAGGCUGUCUCCACCCGAGACUCAGUGAAAUUGAACUCGCUGUGAAGAUGCAGUGUACCCGCGGCAAGACGGAAAGACCCCGUGAACCUUUACUAUAGCUUGACACUGAACAUUGAGCCUUGAUGUGUAGGAUAGGUGGGAGGCUUUGAAGCGUGGACGCCAGUCUGCGUGGAGCCAACCUUGAAAUACCACCCUUUAAUGUUUGAUGUUCUAACGUUGGCCCCUGACCGGGGUUGCGGACAGUGUCUGGUGGGUAGUUUGACUGGGGCGGUCUCCUCCCAAAGCGUAACGGAGGAGCACGAAGGUUAGCUAAUCCUGGUCGGACAUCAGGAGGUUAGUGCAAUGGCAUAAGCUAGCUUGACUGCGAGCGUGACGGCGCGAGCAGGUGCGAAAGCAGGUCAUAGUGAUCCGGUGGUUCUGAAUGGAAGGGCCAUCGCUCAACGGAUAAAAGGUACUCCGGGGAUAACAGGCUGAUACCGCCCAAGAGUUCAUAUCGACGGCGGUGUUUGGCACCUCGAUGUCGGCUCAUCACAUCCUGGGGCUGAAGUAGGUCCCAAGGGUAUGGCUGUUCGCCAUUUAAAGUGGUACGCGAGCUGGGUUUAGAACGUCGUGAGACAGUUCGGUCCCUAUCUGCCGUGGGCGCUGGAGAAUUGAGGGGGGCUGCUCCUAGUACGAGAGGACCGGAGUGGACGCAUCACUGGUGUUCGGGUUGUCAUGCCAAUGGCACUGCCCGGUAGCUAAAUGCGGAAGAGAUAAGUGCUGAAAGCAUCUAAGCACGAAACUUGCCCCGAGAUGAGUUCUCCCUGAGAAUUUAAGUCUCCUGAAGGAACGUUGAAGACGACGACGUUGAUAGGCCGGGUGUGUAAGCG
rnacentral:rRNA from 1 species